UUGAAUAUAAAGAAAAGACGAACAGCUCAGUAACUCUUAUUUUAUUUGAUGUAUUAGGAUUAUAACUAUGUUAAAUUAUAGAUAACAAUAAUACAAUAAGAAUAAGAUCUAUCAGUUAGUUGUUAAGGUAAUGGCUUAACAAGACUAUGACGGAUAACGGUAUUACUUUGUAAUAUUCCGGAGAAGGAGCCUGAGAGAUUGCUACUAAGUCUAAGGAUUGCAGCAGGGGCGAAACUUGACCUAUGAUAUGAUAUUGAGGCAGUUAUGAGUAGUAUUUUUAAUUAUUGUAGUAUUGUAAGUAUAUACUACAAGAUAAAUCGGAGGGCAAAUCGAGUGCCAGCAGCCGCGGUAAUACUUGUUCCGAUAGUGUGUAUGAUGAUUGAUGCAGUUAAAAAGUCUGUAGUUUAUUAUUAAUAAGCAUUGUGAGGUAUAUUGUAUGGUUAGGAGAGAGAUGAAAUGUGAUAACCCUAACUGGAUGAACAGAAGCGAAAGCUAUAUACUUAAAUGUUUUAUUAGAACAAGGACGUAAGCUAGAGGAUCGAAGAUGAUUAGAUACCAUUGUAGUUCUAGCAGUAAACUAUGUUAAAUCAUAGAUACAUUAUUAAUAUGUAUUUAUGUAAAGAAAUUAAGAUUAUAUUGACUCUGGGGAUAGUAUGAUCGCAAGAUUGAAAAUUAAAGAAAUUGACGGAAGAAUACCACAAGGAGUGGAUUGUGCGGCUU
rnacentral:rRNA from 1 species